GCAGAUAUGGCCGAGUGGUUAAGGCGACUGACUCGAAAUCAGUUUCCAGCUUGGAGCGUAGGUUCGAAUCCUACUAUCUGCG
rnacentral:tRNA from 1 species